rnacentral:rRNA from 1 species
UACGUAGGGCGCAAGCGUUAUCCGGAAUUAUUGGGCGUAAAGAGCUCGUAGGCGGUUUGUCGCGUCUGCCGUGAAAGUUCGGGGCUCAACUCCGGAUCUGCGGUGGGUACGGGCAGACUAGAGUGAUGUAGGGGAGACUGGAAUUCCUGGUGUAGCGGUGAAAUGCGCAGAUAUCAGGAAGAACACCCGUGGCGAAAGCGGCUCUCUGGAACGGUACUGACGCUGAGGAGCGAAAGCGUGGGGAGCAAACAGG